rnacentral:tRNA from 1 species
GGAGAGGUGUCCGAGCGGUUUAAGGUGCCGCACUCGAAAUGCGGUGUACCCUAAAAAGGUACCGUGGGUUCGAAUCCCACCCUCUCCGCCA